UACGGGGGGAGCAAACGUUGUUCGGAAUUACUGGGCGUAAAGGGCGCGUAGGCGGUCCUGUAAGUGGUGUGUGAAAUCCGAUGGCUCAACCAUCGAGCUGCGCUCCAUACUGCAGGACUUGAGUACAGCAGAGGAAAGUGGAAUUCCAAGUGUAGCGGUGAAAUGCGUAGAGAUUUGGAGGAACACCAGUGGCGAAGGCGACUUUCUGGUCUGUAACUGACGCUGAGGCGCGAAAGCGUGGGGAGCAAACAGG
rnacentral:rRNA from 1 species